rnacentral:rRNA from 1 species
GAUGAACGCUGGCGGCGUGCCUAAUACAUGCAAGUCGAGCGAACAGACGAGGAGCUUGCUCCUCUGACGUUAGCGGCGGACGGGUGAGUAACACGUGGAUAACCUACCUAUAAGACUGGGAUAACUUCGGGAAACCGGAGCUAAUACCGGAUAAUAUAUUGAACCGCAUGGUUCAAUAGUGAAAGACGGUUUUGCUGUCACUUAUAGAUGGAUCCGCGCCGCAUUAGCUAGUUGGUAAGGUAACGGCUUACCAAGGCAACGAUGCGUAGCCGACCUGAGAGGGUGAUCGGCCACACUGGAACUGAGACACGGUCCAGACUCCUACGGGAGGCAGCAGUAGGGAAUCCUCCGCAAUGGGCGAAAGCCUGACGGAGCAACGCCGCGUGAGUGAUGAAGGUCUUCGGAUCGUAAAACCCUGUUAUUAGGGAAGAACAAAUGUGUAAGUAACUAUGCACGUCUUGACGGUACCUAAUCAGAAAGCCACGGCUAACUACGUG